rnacentral:rRNA from 1 species
AGAGUUUGAUCCUGGCUCAGGACGAACGCUGGCGGCGUGCUUAACACAUGCAAGUCGAACGAGGCACUUGUGCCUAGUGGCGAACGGGUGAGUAACACGUGAGCAACCUGCCUUGGCUCUGGGAUAGCCUCCGGAAACGGGGAUUAAUACCGGACAUGACCUGGUCUCGCAUGAGGCCGGGUGGAAAGUUUUUCGGCCAG